GUGAUAAUCCAGCAUCGACUGGUAAAGUGAUAAUCCAGCAUCGACUGGUAAAGUGAUAAUCCAGCAUCGACUGGUAAAGUUAUAAUCCAGCGGCGACUGGUGGAGGUUAUAGUAAAGGAGAAAUCCAGCAUCGACUGUCAUGAUCUAGUCCACUACGGAUGAAGCUGCAUCUCCUGCAUCCUUGGAUUCCUGCAGGGAUUGAUCGAUAUUGUGUUUAGUGAGACUAGUAUACAGGGAAAUCGGUAGCGAGUAGAUGAUGAGGGACAAUCACUGUUGACGGAUGUGACUGUAUGAUAAUUUUUCUGUCUUUGAGGGAUGCUCACAGUGAACUGUGAGCAAGGAGGGAAUUGUUAGGGAUUUAAGCCAGAAGUGCACCCCUAGUCAGGAAAUUAUAGUACGUGUAAUAAUGUUUAGUGUUAGAAUUAUAGUUUGUGUGAUGUUAGAUAUUAGUUAUUACAUUAACAUGUUAGAUGAAGUGAAUGCAAUUUCAAUCAAACACAAUUCAUAGUCAUUUAAAUCAUAUAAACACUGCACACAGUAACAUUCUGUUACAAUGUGAUGUUAAAACCUGGGGACGGAUGCCAAUUGCCGUUCUUUAUGGAUUUCUCCCAAUUUUAUCCCCAAGGAGGGUUUUUUGGGAGUUUUUUCUCCUGUCAGGUAAUAAAUGAACAACUUAAUGUAAGGCAGCCGACUGAGGCAAAUGUCUUGAGAAUUGAACCACAUGAACUGUUUUAGAUCUUAUGAUGAAGUGUGAUGAACGGUGAUCAUUAGUGAUGGGUUGUUGUAAUGAAAGUGUACUAGUUAUAAGAUGAAGACUUAAACGAUGUAUGCUUUGUUAAAUUCACUCAUUGGGGCAUAAAGCCGAAUGUAUCUACAUUGAGUGCAUUGGAGUGUGAGGGACAGCUAGGACAGAGAGGUUUCAGGUUACAGCUGCAGCUUCACACCUCGACGUGGAAGGGACAAUGGAGGAGGUGACCCUUUGGAGAAGAGGCCAAUGACAUUCAAAUGCACCAAAGAAGACACACCUCAAGAGUUUUCAAAGGACCAUGGCGGGGAAAAGACUGUUAGAACUUCUCCUGCAGCCGCGUUGAUAAGUCACUUCAGACUUGCUCAGAGGAUUCUCUAUUUCGCGAAAUAUUCCAC
ensembl:lncRNA